GUCUAAGUAUAAGCAACUAUACUGUGAAACUGCGAAUGGCUCAUUAAAUCAGUUAUCGUUUAUUUGAUAGUACCUUACUACUUGGAUAACCGUGGUAAUUCUAGAGCUAAUACAUGCGAAAAGCCCCGACUUCGGGAGGGGUGUAUUUAUUAGAUAAAAAACCAAUGCCCUCCGGGGCUUCCUGGUGAUUCAUAAUAACUAAACGAAUCGCAUGGCCUUGCGCCGGCGAUGGUUCAUUCAAAUUUCUGCCCUAUCAACUUUCGAUUGUAGAGUAGUGGUCUACAAUGGUUUCAACGGGUAACGGGGAAUUAGGGUUCGACUCCGGAGAGGGAGCCUGAGAAACGGCUACCACAUCCAAGGAAGGCAGCAGGCGCGCAAAUUACCCAAUCCCGACACGGGGAGGUAGUGACAAUAAAUACUGAUACAGGGCUCUUUUGGGUCUUGUAAUUGGAAUGAGUACAAUUUAAAUCCCUUAACGAGGAACAACUGGAGGGCAAGUCUGGUGCCAGCAGCCGCGGUAAUUCCAGCUCCAGAAGCGUAUAUUAAAGUUGUUGCAGUUAAAAAGCUCGUAGUUGAAUUUUGGGCCUGGCUGGCCGGUCCGCCUCACCGCGUGCACUGGUCCGGCCGGGCCUUUCCUCCUGGGGAUCCGCAUGCCCUUCACUGGGUGUGUUGGGGAACCAGGACUUUUACUUUGAAAAAAUUAGAGUGUUCAAAGCAGGCCUUUGCUCGAAUACAUUAGCAUGGAAUAAUGGAAUAGGACGGCUUUCCUAUUUUGUUGGUUUCUAGGGAAGCCGUAAUGAUUAAUAGGGAUAGUCGGGGGCAUCAGUAUUCAAUUGUCAGAGGUGAAAUUCUUGGAUUUAUUGAAGACUAACUACUGCGAAAGCAUUUGCCAAGGAUGUUUUCAUUAAUCAGUGAACGAAAGUUAGGGGAUCGAAGACGAUCAGAUACCGUCGUAGUCUUAACCAUAAACUAUGCCGACUAGGGAUCGGGCGAUGUUACUAUCUUGACUCGCUCGGCACCUUACGAGAAAUCAAAGUUUUUGGGUUCUGGGGGGAGUAUGUCGCAAG
rnacentral:rRNA from 1 species